rnacentral:rRNA from 1 species
GAUUAACGUUGGCGGCGUGCAUAACACAUGCAAGUUGAGCGUGGCCUUAGUUUACUAAGGUCUAGCAGCGGACGGCUGAGUAAUGCACAGGAACGUACCUCGAAGUGGGGCAUAGCCCAUCGAAAGAUGGGGUAAUACCGCAUGUGCUCGCAAGAGUAAAGCCGCAAGGCGCUUUGAGAACGGCCUGUGUCCUAUCAGGUUGUUGGUGGGGUAAUUGCCACCAAGCCUAUGACGGUAGCUGGUCUGAGAGGAUGACCAGCCAGAUCGGGACUGAGACACGGCCCGAACUCCUACGGGAGGCAGCAGUUGGGAAUUUUGCGCAAGUGGACGAAAGUCUGACGCAGCGACGCCGCGUGGAGGAUGAAGGCUC